CUACGGGGCGCUGCAGUGAGGAAUAUUGCACAAUGGGGGGAACCCUGACGCAGCAACGCCGCGUGAGUGAUGAAGGCUUUCGGGUCGUAAAGCUCUGUCAAGUGGGAAGAACCUAUGCAGUGUUAAUAUCACUGUAUACUGACGGUACCACUGAAGGAAGCACGGCUAACUCCGUGCCAGCAGCCGCGGUAAUACGGGGGGUGCAAGCGUUAUUCGGAAUCAUUGGGCGUAAAGGGCACGUAGGCGGCUUGGUAAGUCAGAUGUGAAAGCCCGGGGCUUAACCCCGGAAGUGCAUUUGAUACUGUCAGGCUUGAGUAUGGGAGAGGGAAGUGGAAUUCCUGGUGUAGAGGUGAAAUUCGUAGAUAUCAGGAGGAACACCGGUGGCGAAGGCGACUUCCUGGACCAAUACUGACGCUGAGGUGCGAAGGCGUGGGUAGCAAACAGGAUUAGAUACCCGCGUAGUC
rnacentral:rRNA from 1 species